GUCAGGUGCAGUGGUGCACGCCUGUAAUCCCAGCAGCUCAGGAGACUGAGGCAGGAGGAUCCCAAGUUCAAAGCCAGCUCAGCAAAAGCGAGGCGCUAAGCAACUCAGUGAGAGCCUGUCUCUA
rnacentral:sRNA from 1 species